GUGUGUUUGUGUAUGUAUAUGUCUGUGUAUGAAAUGGUAGCUGUGUGUCUUUGUAUGUGUGUGUGUUUGUGUGUAUAUAUGUCUAUGUAUGUGUAUUGGUAUUUGUGUGUCUGUGUGUGUAUCUGUGUGUCUAUGUAUGUGUGCAUGUGUGUAUAUGUAUUCAUGUGUAUGUAUUUGUGUAUGUGUAUAUGUAUGUAAGUUUGUGUCUAGGUGUGUAUAUAUGUGUAUAUAUAUAUGUGUAUACAUGUAUCUGUGUGUAUGUAUGUGUGUAUAUGUGUGUGUAUGUCUGUGUGUAUCUGUGUGUAUUUGUGUAUCAUGUCUGUGUGUAUCUGUGUGUAUUUGUGUAUCAUGUUUGUGUGUAUAUGUGUGUAUGUGUAUAUGUAUGUCUGUGCCUGUGUGACUGUAUGUGUAUCUGUGCGUGUAUGUGUGUUGCAUGUGGAGAUCAAAGGAUAGCUUCCAGAAAUCAGUUCUCUCUUCCGCCAUGUGGAAUUAACUCAAGGUUGUCAGGCUUGGCAGCAAGUCCUUAGGUCACUGAACCCUCUCACCAGUCCUAUCACGUACUUUCAUAAGUAGAGAGUGUAUCUCAAACUGGUUUUCUAGAUUAUCAAUUCCAGUUAUAGAGGUGUUAGAAAAGAAGGUACAUUAUUGAGUAUAGUUUGUUGAGUUCUAUUAAUUAUGUGAAGCUAAAAUCAACUACUGAUGAGGGUUCUCUGACUAUUGAAUUCUCUGGGAAUUUCAAAUAUAUCAGAGUCCAAUCUCACUUAGAAAUGAGAACUAUGGUAUACUCUGAUGUGGUGUGGAGUAGCUCCUAGGCCUCAGGUCUCCAUUUGUCACUGAUGCCCCACUUCCCAUGUCUGCACACUUCAGAUAGGCACAUCUUCUCUCACAUGAGUCUCUGUAGGAAGGAAGGAUCCCUUCUCACCACUCUCUGUUGUUGCCUUGGACUUCAUCCACACCAGAGAGAUGGACACCAGGGCCAGGAAGGCAGAGGAGAGGUUUGAUGAGGUAAACGAGCAGCUUCAUCACAGCCUCAUAAGAAACAGAAACCUGGAGAGGGAGCUAGAAGAAUUGGUGAAGACAACCAUGAUGGGGUCACAAGUGAAGACAGAAAAUGCCAAAGAGAACCAGGAGGACCGUGGGGGAAAGGAUGAUGAUGAACACCAACAAACACAAACGCCCCCAACAUCUGCCAAGAAAGAAGCACAGCCCACGAACAGUUCUGAAGCACCUGAAGAUCAGAAUACACCUGAGCCCAAACCCAAUUAGCCUCCCUAGAGAGUGGGGCUCACAGUGCCUGUGUCCCUGAAGACGCCUGAGUAUUGCUGAGCUGUCGCAUUGGCAACACAGCUCACAUGGAUGGACUCGCAUAGCAACAGGCAUUAGGAAAGCCAUGCCAUCAAGCCAAGAAAAUUUCUCUCUAGAAGCAUGGCAGAAGCCAUAGGAAGUCA
rnacentral:lncRNA from 1 species